rnacentral:rRNA from 1 species
GUGAGGAAUAUUGCGCAAUGGAGGCAACUCUGACGCAGCCAUGCCGCGUGCAGGAAGAAGGCGCUACGCGUUGUAAACUGCUUUUAACCGGGAAGAAACCCCAGGACGUGUCCUGGGUUGACGGUACCGGAGGAAUAAGCACCGGCUAACUUCGUGCCAGCAGCCGCGGUAAUACGAAGGGUGCAAGCGUUAUCCGGAUUCAUUGGGUUUAAAGGGUGCGUAGGCGGAGCGUUAAGUCAGUGGUGAAAUCCUGCAGCUUAACUGUAGACUUGCCAUUGAUACUGGCGCUCUUGAGUGCGCUUGAAGUGGGCGGAAUGUGCCGUGUAGCGGUGAAAUGCUUAGAUAUGACACAGAACACCAAUUGCGAAGGCAGCUCACUAAGGCGAUACUGACGCUGAGGCACGAAAGCGUGGGGAUCGAACAGGAUUAGAAACCCGUGUAGUCC